CCAUACGGUACAGAUUUUCUUACUUAGGAUUUUUGCCAUCAAUUGAAUGCCAUCUGACCAUCAACAUUUACUGACCUGUCUUACAAAAAUGUUCCUUCCAGGUUAUGGACCUUAUGGUAAUGUUGGAGCUGGUCUUCCAGGAGGUCCUGGUGGUACUGCAGGUGGUGGAGGAACUGGUGGGCUCUAUCCAGGGCAGGUGCCAGGAGCAGGGUAUGGAGCUGGAGCAAGGCAGCCAAGUAUGGAACUGGAGGGCAACUUGGAACAGGAGGGCAACUUGGAACAGGAGGGCAACUUGGAACAGGAGGGCAACUUGGAACUGGAGGACAGCUUGGAACUGGAGGACAGCUUGGAACUGGAGGAUUUGGAACGCUAGGGGGAGGUGGUGGAUACUCUCCUGCUUCAAAAGCUGCCAAAUAUGGAGUUGGAGGUCAACUUGGUACUGGAGGUCAACUUGGAACUGGAGGACAACUAGGAACCGGAGGUCAGCUUGGUACAGGAGGACUUGGAACACUUGGGGGAGGUGGUGGAUAUUCUCCUUCCUCCAAAGCUGCCAAAUAUGGUAUAACAGGAACUGGAGGACAACUCGGAACUGGAGGACAGCUUGUGCCAGGAGGACAGCUUGUACCAGGAGGACCAGGAACAGUAGGCAUAGGUGGUGGAUAUUCUCCUGCUUCAAAAGCAGCCAAAUAUGGUUUACCAGGAACAGGAGGUCAACUUGUACCAGGAGGACCUGGAGGAGUGGGAACACUAGGGGGAGGUGGUGGAUAUGCUCCUUCUUCCAAAGCUGCUAAAUAUGGAACAGGAGGUCAACUUGUACCAGGAGGUCAACUUGUGCCAGGAGGACAACUUGUACCAGGAGGACAACUUGUACCAGGACCUGGAUCAGUGGGUGGAGGAGGUGGUUAUGUUCCUGCUUCCAAGGCUGCUAAAUAUGGUUUACCAGGAACAGGAGGACAACUUGGAACAGGUGGACAACUUGGAACAGGUGGACAAAUUGUACCAGGAGGACCUGGAUCAGUGGGUGGAGGUGGUAGCUAUUCUCCUGCUGCCAAAGCUGCUAAAUAUGGUUUAACUGGAAGAGGAGGUCAACUUGGAACAGGAGCGCAACUUGUACCAGGAGGACAACUUGUACCAGGGGGAUCCGGAGGAAUCGGUGGAGGUGGUGGCUAUUCUCCUGCUUCCAAAGCUGCUAAAUAUGGUUUACCAGGAUUUGGAGGACAACUUGGAACGGGAGGACAACUCGGAACGGGAGGGCAACGUGUGCCAGGAGGACCUGGAACGUUAGGAGGAGGCGGUGGAUAUUCUCCUGCUUCUAAAGCUGCUAAAUAUGGUAUUGGGGGCCAAACAGGAGCCGGGGGUGGAGCAGGUGGAGGAUACAAUCCCGCCGCCGCUGCUGCUGCUGCAAAAGCUGCUAAAUAUGGUCAAGGUGGUGCUGGAGGGGGGACUUACCCAGGUGGGGGAUACCCCGGUUCUCCGUUUGUCCCGGAUAUGGAUGUAAGAGCAAAUGUGAUUCACUGCAGCUAA
rnacentral:lncRNA from 1 species